AGGCCAGCAUCAGUUUGAGUGGUUAGAUAAAGGCUUAGAGAAUGUGGCCCUCUUCGGGGGGUGUUAUAGCUCUAGGUGCAAUGUAGCCUACUUGGACUGAGGACCGCGCUUCGGCUAGGAUGCUGGCGUAAUGGUUGUAAGCGA
rnacentral:rRNA from 1 species